rnacentral:rRNA from 1 species
AUUGAACGCUGGCGGCAGGCCUAACACAUGCAAGUCGAGCGAGCGGCGGACGGGUGAGUAAUGUAUGGGGACUGCCCGAUAGAGGGGGAUAACUACUGGAAACGGUUGCUAAUACCGCAUACUAUCGGAUAACCCAUAUGGGAUUAGCUAGUGGGUGGGGUAAAGGCUCACCUAGGCUACGAUCUCUAGCUGGUCUGAGAGGAUGAUCAGCAACACGGGGACUGAGACACGGCCCAGACGCAUAGGGAGGCAGCAGUGGGGAAUAGUGCACAAUGGGCGGAAGCCUGAUGCAGCCAUGCGGCGGGUAUGAAGAAGGCCGUAGGGGUGUAAAGUACUUGCAGCGGGGAGGCGUUACCGGCAGAAGAAGCACCGGCUAACUCCGUGCCAGCAGCCGCGGGAAUAC